GAUGAACGCUGGCGGCGUGCCUAAUACAUGCAAGUCGAGCGAACAGACGAGGAGCUUGCUCCUCUGACGUUAGCGGCGGACGGGUGAGUAACACGUGGAUAACCUACCUAUAAGACUGGGAUAACUUCGGGAAACCGGAGCUAAUACCGGAUAAUAUAUUGAACCGCAUGGUUCAAUAGUGAAAGACGGUUUUGCUGUCACUUAUAGAUGGAUCCGCGCCGCAUUAGCUAGUUGGUAAGGUAACGGCCUACCAAGGCAACGAUGCGUAGCCGACCUGAGAGGGUGAUCGGCCACCCUGGAACUGAGACACGGUCCAGACUCCUACGGGAGGCAGCCGUAGGGAAUCUUCCGCAAUGGGCGAAAGCCUGACGGAGCAACGCCGCGUGAGUGAUGAAGGUCUUCGGAUCGUAAAACUCUGUUAUUAGGGAAGAACAAAUGUGUAAGUAACUAUGCACGUCUUGACGGUACCUAAUCAGAAAGCCACGGCUAACUACGUG
rnacentral:rRNA from 1 species